rnacentral:rRNA from 1 species
GCGGCAUGCCUAACACAUGCAAGUCGAACGAGAAAGUUCCUUCGGGAGCAAUUAAAGUGGCGCACGGGUGAGUAACGCGUAGACAAUCUGCCCUUCAGUCUGGGACAACUUUUCGAAAGGAGAGCUAAUACCGGAUAACAAUGUAUGACACAAGUUGUAUAUUUGAAAGCUUUAUGUGCUGAAGGAGGGGUCUGCGUCCCAUUAGCUAGUUGGUAAGGUAAAGGCUUACCAAGGCAACGAUGGGUAGCGGGUUUGAGAGGACGAUCCGCCACACUGGAACUGAGACACGGUCCAGACUCCUACGGGAGGCAGCAGUGGGGAAUAUUGCACAAUGGAGGCAACUCUGAUGCAGCAAUGUCGCGUGAGUGAAGAAGGCCCUUGGGUCGUAAAGCUCUUUUAUGGGGGAAGAUGAUGACGGUACCCCAAGAAUAAGCACCGGCUAACUAUGUGCCAGCAGCCGCGGUAAUACAUAGGGUGCGAGCGUUGUUCGGAAUUACUGGGCGUAAAGGGCGCGCAGGCGGAAUAGUAAGUCGGAGGUGAAAGCCCGGGGCUCAACCCCGGAGGGUCUUUCGAAACUACUAAUCUAGAGAGGGUCAGGGGCCGGCAGAAUUCCUGGUGUAGAGGUGAAAUUCGUAGAUAUCAGGAGGAAUACCGGUGGCGAAGGCGGCCGGCUGGGGCCACUCUGACGCUGAGGCGCGAAAGCGUGGGGAGCAAACAGGAUUAGAUACCCUGGUAGUCCACGCCGUAAACGAUGAGCACUGGACGUCCGGAGGGUUCGACCCUUCUGGGUGUCUCAGCUAACGCAUUAAGUGCUCCGCCUGGGGAGUACGGUCGCAAA